AUAAAAUGGGUACAUUAUGGGCAGUGUAAUACAAGCUUUCUUUUCAUUGCCUAGUACUUUACCAGCAGACCACAGUUUUGCCCUGGCUAGACCAACCCUCAGAACAAAAUCAUCAUUCCUUGUAUUUAUAUUUGUAUCUGAGAUAGUAAACAAGAUGGCUGGCCAGGUCAACAUGGCACCUUAACUUAUUUUUUUAAUAGGUAAAACUUCUUCAAAAGUAGCUUGCUUUGUAUAAGAACUAAGCUAUCAGUAUAGAUAUAGCUAUCCUUGGAGCUUAUGUUUCAGACAAGAAUUAUUUACUAAAAUAAAUAAUAAACAAGAUAAUGCAUUAUACAAUUUGGGCAUUUCUCGUUUCUCAAGUGUAUGCAUCAUGGUAAAUAUAAACUAACCACAAGAUAGGUAGAUUGAUUCAUUUCAUUUUAAUCUCCUUGUGUAAUUCAGUACCUCCAUAAUUGUUCUAAUCUUCUUCCCACUGUUUACAAAUUACCAGUUAAUUAACUCGUGAAAGAAAAAUUCACAUAUCAGAAUAAAAAUAAAUGUAUACUCACUUUAUAAAAAUCACCACUGCUGUCUUUCCUUAAUACUAGCAGUGGAAAUGUAAGUGGCUUACUCUACAAAUUUUGGUGCUGGCAAAUACAUAGGCAAACUGUUGGGAGCUGCUCUAGUUACAUUCCUCCCUUCUUAUUCCCUUUUUCUCUUCCUCACUUUAUUGCAUAACAUAUUCCUGUACCCAAAGCAUUCUACCACAGUUCUAUUUGACUCCCACUUGUAAUAACUCCUUUAAAAAAUUCCAUGUUUAACCAUAUGACCCUGCUUGCUUACUCAUAUUCUCCCUCCCUCUCCCCUUCCUUUCUCUCUCUUCCAGAAGUCAUUUGCCUGGUUUGAAAUAUUUUGUAGGGAUUGCUUAUUAUAUUAUUUUAGCUGAUGAACCUCAGGACAACGUCUACACACACACACAUACAUACACGCACACAAAAUCUCAGCUGUUGAAGAGUGGGCUUGGAAUCAGACUUCUGUGUCCAGUAAAAAACUCCUGCACUGAAGUCAUUGUGACUUGAGUAGUUACAGACUGAUUCCAGUGAACUUGAUCUAAUUUCUUUUGAUCUAAUGAAUGUGUCUGCUUACCUUGUUUCCUUUUAAUUGAUAAGCUCCAAGUAGUUGCUAAUUUUUUGACAACUUUAAAUGAGUUUCAUUCACUUCUUUUACUUAAUGUUUUAAGUAUAGUACCAAUAAUUUCAUUAACCUGUUCUCAAGUGGUUUAGCUACCAUUCUGCCAUUUUUAAUUUUUAUUUAAUUUUAUUUGCUUGAGCACACUGAUCAACCACUGAACUGCCUUCUUCCAUUGUCCUGCAAUGAUAUAAGGGUUACAUUUUUGUGUAUAUGGCUUUCAUAGUUGGGAUUUCAGAGCACUGAUACCAGAUAUUUUCAGUUUGUUCUCUGGGGGAAUUUCAUUUGCAUCUAUGUUUUUAGCUAUCUGUGAUAACUUGUUAAAUAUUAAAAAGAUAUUUUGCUUCUAUUGGAACAUUUGUAUACUCGCAACUAUAUUUCUGUAAACAGCUGCAGUCAAAAAUAAAACACUGAAAGUUUU
ensembl:lncRNA novel transcript